rnacentral:lncRNA from 1 species
AAUAUUGCAGUAAUACACGAAAUCAUUCCAUUGCAAAAAAAAAUAGUAAUACAUAAAAUCAAAACCCCUCCUCCAUACUCUCUCAACUCCUCUUGAAUGACCAUAUCGUAACCUAAAAAGAACUCCAUACACACUAUGAAAAUCACAUUCCCUUACCUCGUGCUUCUUAAUUCCCAAUUACUAGAGGUAUACAACAUUCUAUACCCAAUAACCA